CACGUAGGGUGCGAGCGUUGUCCGGAAUUAUUGGGCGUAAAGAGCUCGUAGGCGGUGUGUCACGUCGGCCGUGAAAACCUGCAGCUUAACUGUGGGCGUGCGGUCGAUACGGGCAUCACUGGAGUUCGGCAGGGGAGACUGGAAUUCCUGGUGUAGCGGUGAAAUGCGCAGAUAUCAGGAGGAACACCGGUGGCGAAGGCGGGUCUCUGGGCCGAUACUGACGCUGGAGGAGCGAAAGCGUGGGGAGCAAGCAGG
rnacentral:rRNA from 1 species